rnacentral:lncRNA from 1 species
CAGGAGGUCUGCAAGUGUGUGGUUAGGUAAAAACUGAGCUGUGCAAACUCACUGUAUCCAAGCUCUUCUCAUGAGAGAGCAGAACAACCUGGCAAGCUUAAAGGCUAUAAACUCCAGAAUGGCAGGAAUUGGGCCUUGUUCUAAAUAAUAUUCUGAAGCACCUAUGUGUCAGAGGACAAAGCAAGUCUGGUAUGUUAAGCACCUAACCCAGGCAGUCUGAAAUCAAAGAGGUGGUGUUACGCAGCAGGACAAAGGGCUUUACAAUAGUUCUGUAAGAAAUAAGCAAAGCACAACUUCAU